GAAAGCACUGGUUCUCAUUUGAUCACUGGAGUUAAGCAGUGUCAAGCCUGGUUAAUACUUAGAUGGGGGACCACUUGAGAAGACCUGGUACUGUAAG